rnacentral:lncRNA from 1 species
AGGCUGAAGUUCAGCCUCCUCCUGAUAAGCACCUGGUUAAUCUUUGUAAGAAAUAAGUUAUGUUCAUUUUAAAUAUAAAUCUCUUCUUCAUCUAAUCCCUGAGAAACAUUGUGAUCAUCUCUGAGUAGCUAUAAUCCUUUUUAUUAUCGCCAGUCUAGUUUGUGACUUUCUUGGUUAUAUUUAGUAUCUUUAUUACAAUUUCAUCUUACUGAUGAUGUGUUUUAUAAACUA